GACGAACGCUGGCGGCGUGCUUAACACAUGCAAGUCGAACGGAAAGGCCCUGCUUUUGUGGGGUGCUCGUUUGGCGAACGGGUGAGUAACACGUGUGUAACCUGCCCUUGACUUUGGGAUAUCUCCAGGAAACUGGGGCUAAUACCGGAUAGGAUCUCCUGCUCCAUGGUGGGCGUUGGAAAGUUUCGGCGGUUGGGGAUCGACUCGCUGCUUAUCAGCUUGUUGGUGUGGUAGUGGCUUACCAAGGCUUUGACGGGUAGCCGGCAUGAGAGGGUGACCGGCCACAUGGGGACUGAGGUACGGCGCAGACUGCUACGGGAGGCAGCAGUGGGGAAUAUUGCACAAUGGGCGGAAGCGUGAUGCAGAAGCGCCGCGUGCGGGAUGACGGCCUACGGGUUGUAAACCGCUGUCGCAUGUGACGAAGCGUGAGUGACGGUAAUGGGUAAAGAAGCACCGGCUAACUACGUG
rnacentral:rRNA from 1 species